GAGUGAAAUGAUGGUUACCAUCUUUCGGGUCUGACGCCUGAUGACCCCUUAUCCACGCUGAUCACUC